GCCGGAGUAGCUCAGCGGUAGAGCAACACUUUUGUAAAGUGAAGGUCGGGGGUUCGACUCCCUUCUCCGGCU
rnacentral:tRNA from 1 species